GAUGAACGCUGGCGGCGUGCCUAAUACACGCCAGUCGAGCGAACAGACGAGGAGCUUGCUCCUUUGACGUUAGCGGCGGACGGGUGAGUAACACGUGGAUAACCUACCUAUAAGACUGGGAUAACUUCGGGAAACCGGAGCUAAUACCGGAUAACAUGUUGAACCGCAUGGUUCAACAGUGAAAGACGGUCUUGCUGUCACUUAUAGAUGGAUCCGCGCCGCAUUAGCUAGUUGGUAAGGUAACGGCUUACCAAGGCAACGAUGCGUAGCCGACCUGAGAGGGUGAUCGGCCACACUGGAACUGAGACACGGUCCAGACUCCUACGGGAGGCAGCAGUAGGGAAUCUUCCGCAAUGGGCGAAAGCCUGACGGAGCAACGCCGCGUGAGUGAAGAAGGUCUUCGGAUCGUAAAACUCUGUUAUUAGGGAAGAACAAAUGUGUAAGUAACUAUGCACGUCUUGACGGUACCUAAUCAGAAAGCCACGGCUAACUACGUG
rnacentral:rRNA from 1 species